rnacentral:lncRNA from 1 species
CAACUCCUUGGAUUAUGGACACUGGAGCUACUCAUCAUAUGGUCUCUAGUUUGGAUACACUACUUCAUCCAACUCUUGUUCCUUCAAAUUCUAACCAAGUACAUUUGCCAAAUGGUCAAACCACCCUAGUCACUCACACUGGAUCUGCUUCACUUUUUGCCAAUACUGAAGUGAAAAAUGUCCUUUAUCUUCCUCAUUUUACUUACAAUCUAUUAUCCAUUUCCAAACUCACAAAGGAAUUGAAUUGUUGUGUCUGUUUCUAUCCUGAUUUCUGUCUUUUUCAGGACCUCUGCAAUGGCAAGGUGAAGGGGAUUGGUAAGGAAGCAUGAGGUCUCUACAUACUUCCAUCCACCAAGACAGCAUCACCUGCCACUAUACUCCAACAUUCUUCUGCAUUACAUGCCUCAUCUUCUUUACUAGAUGUAGCUUCCAUCUGGCAUCAAAGACUUGGUCAUGCUCCUAAUACUAUACUGCAGAAGAUUGCAUCUCUGAAGCCUCAUAUGCAUAGCUCAGUUUUUUCUUCUUGUCCUAUCUUGCAUUUUCAUCCUACAUUUCUUCAAUUGUUUUCAUCACUAUACUAUAACAAAUGACUUACAUGAUUGAUCGUCAUUUCAACUACUAUUCAUCGUCUUCUCCAUUUCGUCAAUAUUUUGGGGGAAAAAGAGAAGUCUCGACGAUUUUUCAUGAAUUCAUCGAUCAAGCUCUAUAUGAAUUGGAUAAACUUCGUAUGUACAGUUAAAAGUAUUUCUACGCAUUAAAAAAAUUGACAUUCUCUUUGGGACAAAAAAUAAAAUGUGUCACUUAAAUUCGGAAGGAGGGUAAAAUAGUUUUAAAAAAAAGAUAUGCUUAGAGUAAGUAACAUUUGGUUCUUCAAGCUAUAAAUAACUCCAUUGUUCAUCACCAAUUCCGUGGUCAAUUCAACUUCACUAAAAAUUGUCUUUUUCUGUUUCAAGAAAGAAAAUUCAAAGUUCUAUUUAGUUGUUCUAAAGAGCUUUCUUCUUCUUUCUAACUGUUGAUUUUUUGUCUGUGUAAAAUCAUACAUUAACAAGUACAUAUUUUGUUGCAUUUUCAUCCUACGUUUCUUCAAUUGUAUCAUCACUACAAUAAAGGUGCAAUAGAAAUUAAGUUUCAUGAAUUUAUAUUUUUUUUACCUAAAAUUAAUUUAACUUUGAAAUUUUAUUUUUAUAUUAAUAUGAUGAUUUAUGUGAUAUGAAAUCAUGUAACCACUAAUUGAGAUUUAACAAUGACUAAAACAUAUUAUGCUUAUAUAUGCCUGAUAAUAAAAGGAUUAGUGAUUCUUUAAUGACAAUUUGAUGAUCCAUAUAUAAUUAAAAACUUAAAAUAUAAGAGCCUUAAAAUGAAUGAAGAAAAUUGUCUAGAAAUGUAACUUGCUAAUCUUAAUUUAAAGUUAAAGUGAAUUAAAUCAACUUAAUAUUUUAAAAUUAAAAUUUAGAUAUUCAAUAAUUGUAUAAAAAGUAUUAGAAGUUGCAGUUCUUAUUACGUCAAUAUGAUUAAAAAUAUAUUCUAAAAUAUUGAUCGAAGUUUACAUAAUAUAAAUUCUGAAAAACGAAAAAUAUAAUUAGAACGGAUAAAAUACUUAACACUCAUAAAAUAAAUAAACUUCAUUAACAUUUCUUGUAUUGUACUUAUAAUUACUACCUACAUGCAAAACUCCACGUGCUUAUAUUAUAUAUAUAAAAAAAAAUAAAAAAUAAGAAGAGAUUAAAAAAAUAACUUCUUAUGUGGACCCUAAACCGAUAAUAGUAUACAAACAAAUUUAGGUGAGGUUACAACUAUUCAGCGAUUAAAUUUGGAAUUAUAUGAACAAAAAUCCAUAAAUGAAGAUAAGAAAAUUACGUCAUAAAAAUGACAAUUUUUAGAGUUGUCAUAUUUUGCAUGAAAAUUGAACAAAUUUUGCCAUUUAUUCCUCUUAAUAAAAUAAGGGGAAAAAUGAAAUUGAAUGGUUUUAAUCCUUAAAAUAUUGAUAAGUUUUUGUUUUGAUCCUUGUAGUAUAUCACUAAACACAUUUAAAUUUUGAUUAAUUAGAAUGUACACUUUUUAUCUUUCGACUUGUGAAACUUUACAAAUUUAAUAAAUUAUUAAUUGUAAAUCAUUUACUUAUCCAUUUGCUAGGUUAAACUUUAUUUGGUUCCUUCUAUUUGAGGGUAUUUUAAUAAUAAUAAUAAUCUAAAAUAACAUACUUCCUAUGUAAAUAAACCAUAAUCAUAAUGAUCAAAAUCAAAAUUUACUAUAACUAAUGGAGAUUUCAUAAAUUUUGUUGAUAGCAAAAUUUUGUUUUAGAGUAAUUAAAGGUUAUAAGUUUAUAAUGGAGUAUUAUAUGUUUUCUGCUUCAAAAAUAAAUUGGGCCGAAAAAUAUAUGAAUUGACUUAUGAUUGGAACCCUUAAAAAGCCCAUUGUUAAGAAACAUAUAUUUUGAAUUUAUUUUUUUGAGAUAAUUUAGAUAUGAACAUAUAAAUCACAAAAAAAUCAAUAAAAACAAAUAUGUGAAGAAAAAAUAGAACGAUUGAUAUCAAAUUGAUGAAACAUAAAUGAAUCGAGAUAUUAAAACUUACCUGUAAAGGGCGUGGAAGGAUGUUAAAAUCUCUUUCACUAUUAAUAAGAGGUGUCGAGUCCGAGUCAUAGGGAAGAAGAACUUUUGUAAGUCCAUUUUAUCCCCCAUAGUGUAUCUACCCCACAUGAAAUUGUAAUGUUUGAGCAACUGAAUUUUGAAUUUUGAAUACCUAAAAGAUGAGAGAGUUAAAAUUUGAAUUUUAAUACAAAAAUCUUUUAGGUUUGUUUUUCCAUGACAAACUAUUUCAAUAUUUACAAAUGUUAAAAUCAUUUAUUUUGUAAAUAAUCUUUUGGCCAUGCCAUUUUGGAUUUCAAGUAAAAAAUUGUUUGUAUUUAUCAUUGAAAAAUGGAAUGUGAUAGUUGAAAAAUGGAUUGUGUCACUUUCAUAAAUAAAAAGGAAAAAUGUGCGUAAUUAUUUUAUCUGAUUUGCUAUAAGUUCUUCUUUUUUUAUAUUUUUAAAAAAAAGUAAUAUUGUACCUUUAAUUAACUUAACAUGAUAUAUGAAUAGAGAAAUAAAUCUUUCAUUGAUUAAGAGAAAAAAACAAAAUAACGUAUUGCAUAGAUCAAGAUUGAUGCAUUUGAUAUUGUCGCUUAAAUCAAUUUGUUUGACAAUAUUUGCAUAUUAAUUUGUAAUUACAACGACAAUAUACAAAUGAAGUUUGAAAAAAGUUGUAUGAUUUACUAUAUUACAGAGUGAGUCUCUUUGCUCGUAGUUCCUCUCUAUCUUAAAUUUUAUCUUGUUAAUUUGGUAAAGUAUAAUUGUUUAUGUUAAUUAUUAUAGAUUUUUAGAACUACUUUUUCUUGUGAUUUUGCUAAUAUUGUUAGAACCUACAAUUUCUUUUUUCAUUUGCUUCUAAUUAAGUUUUUGAUAUAUGUCUCAAUUUAAUAUUUCAUAACUCAUCAACUAAUUUUUUUUCUUGUUGUUGUUUGUUUAGUCUCUUUUGAAUUUGCCUUUUUUUUAAUCAAAACUUUUGAACUUCAUGAUUUUAACUUUAUAAAAAAAGUCUUGUUUUGUGUAUUUUUUAUUUUCUUAAUGAUUAUUAUUAUUAUUAUUAUUAUUAAUAAUAAUAAUAAUUAGUGCUAUCAUUAAGAAAAUAAAAAAUACACAAAACAAGACUUUUUUUAUAAAGUUAAAAUCAUGAAGUUCAAAAGUUUUGAUUAAAAAAAAGGCAAAUUCAAAAGAGACUAAACAAACAACAACAAGAAAAAAAAUUAGUUGAUGAGUUAUGAAAUAUUAAAUUGAGACAUAUAUCAAAAACUUAAUUAGAAGCAAAUGAAAAAAGAAAUUGUAGGUUCUAACAAUAUUAGCAAAAUCACAAGAAAAAGUAGUUCUAAAAAUCUAUAAUAAUUAACAUAAACAAUUAUACUUUACCAAAUUAACAAGAUAAAAUUUAAGAUAGAGAGGAACUACGAGCAAAGAGACUCACUCUGCUUUUGAAAUUUAAGAGGUUGUGUUUAAAGACAAAGAAAGAGGGAUCAGUCAUGGCUUACCACAUUUGUGUUAAGUGUAAGACUUGUCGUUUUAAUGGUGCAG